CCUAACGUUGCAUUAAUGCGUUUACAGUUUACACCCUCACCCCUUCCCCCAACAACCCCCCUACCAAUUCGUGAAUCACUAUACUCUGAAGCAAAGUUAAAUCCCCAAACCAAAACCCUAGGUCCUCCCUGCAACAUUUCUGCCGCACUGCUGCCGCCGUCCGUGCUGUCGGCAUCGUCUGUGGCCAAGCCCUCUCUUGUAGCUCAGCGUCCUCCUUCCCCUUGUCCUCCGUCCAUCCUCCAUGGCUUCUCUGUUUUGUUGGCUUGGAGCAGCUCGCCGUGUCGUCGCUCGCCGUCGUCUCCCCGAUCGCCGUUCGUGUCUCCGUCGAAGCUAUGAAGUUUUGCUCACAUUGGAUAAGGAAAAGCACAAAGUGGAGGGUCGAAAAUAUUAUUAUGUGUUCAACAGUCUUCUAUAUUGCUUGCUUGUUCUGCAUAUAUACUGUGGGUGCUGAUAUUUCGGAUGCUUGUUAGACAAAUUCAAGCAAGAGGAAAAAUUAGUGAUGAUGUUC